rnacentral:rRNA from 1 species
GGCACUAAUAGUGGAUGCCUUGACAAUCAAUACCGAUGAAGGACGUAGAACUCUGCGAUAAGUCUUGGGGAGCUGAGAGCAAGCUUUGAUCCAGGAAUUUCCGAAUGGGGCAACCUAAUACGAGUCAUGUCGUAUUGCAACUACCUGAACACAUAGGGUAGUUAGACGGGAACCAACCGAACUGAAUCAUCUUAGUAGGUUGAGGAAAAGAGAAUAAACAAUGAUUCCGAAAGUAGUGGCGAGCGAAAUUGGAGCAGCCUAAACCUUAACAUAACCAUACGGUUUAACGGCCAGAGUUAUGAAAGGGGUUGCGAAAUAAGAUAAUUUUUAUGCUGAGGUAUUGGAAAUCCGAUAUUUCAGUAUAAAAACCAACAUCGUUAAAUGAGUGGAUAAUGUUAUAAAACUUAGAUCAUAGCGGAAGUGUUUGAAUGGCACACCAAAGAAGGUGAGAGUCCUGUAUGCGAAAUGGUCUUAGACAUUAUAUAUCUUUUUUCAAGUAGGACGGGGCACGAGAAACCCUGUUUGAAUCUGGCAGGACCACCUGCCAAGGCUAAAUAUAUUGAUUGAUCGAUAGCGAACUAGUACAGUGAUGGAAAGGUGAAAAGAACCCCGGGAGGGGAGUGAAAUAGAUCCUGAAACUUAGUGCCUACAAGGUGUCGGAGCAGCUUCGGCUGUGACGGCGUGCUUUUUGUAGAACGAUCCAGCGAGUUAAUGUUGUCGGCGAGGCUAAGUCAGAUGAUGGAGCCACAGUGAAAGCGAGCCUUAACAGGGCGACAAGUCGGCAGUAUUAGACCCGAAACCGGGUGACCUAACCAUGAGCAGGUUGAAGCUGCGGUAACACGCAGUGAAGGACCGAACCAGUUUGCGCAGUAAAGCAUUUGGAUGACUUGUGGUUAGCGGUGAAAUGCCAAUCGAACUCGGAGAUAGCUGGUUCUCCUCGAAAUAGCUUUAGGGCUAGCGUUGUGUUAGUAAUCACCAGGGGUAGAGCUCUGAAAAGGUUUGGGGCCGGCAACGGUACCCACCCUUAUCAAACUACGAAUACUGGUGGUGUAACCACAGCAGUCAGAACGGCGGGGCUAAGCUCGUCGCUCAAAAGGGAAACAGCCCAGAUCAUCGUCUAAGGUCCCCAAUUAACACUAAGUGGGAAACAAAGUGAAGUUUCUUAAACAGCUAGGAUGUUGGCUUAGAAGCAGCCAUUCAUUUAAAGAGUGCGUAACAGCUCACUAGUCAAGAGAUUUUGCGUGGAAAAUGUAACGGGGCUAAAGUGUUAAACCGAAGACAUGGACUUCAUAUUUUAUGGAGUGGUAGAGGAGCGUUGAUAUCGCAGUGAAGUCAGAUUGUAAAGUCUGGUGGAGCGUUAUCAAGUGAGAAUGCUGGAAUCAGUAACCUUAAGACAGGUGAGAAUCCUGUCGGUCGUAAGAGCAAGGUUUCCAGGGCUACAGUAAUUGUCCCUGGGUUAGUCGGUCCUAAGCCGAGGCGCAUCAGCGUAGGCGAUGGACAACAGGUUAAUAUUCCUGUACAGGUAGUAGUUGUUAACAGUUCACGGUGAGUGACUAGAGCGGAUUAAUGGUUUAUCCGUCCAAGGUUUCAAGGAAUUGAAACUGAGUGAAAGAUAUUCUUCGGAAUAUUGAUUCUGGGUACAACGCUGGCUAGAAAAGCUGGUUAACUUAUGCUGCUGCCUACCGUACCGCAAACCAACACCGGUGCUCGGGUCGAGUAGACCAAGACCUACGUGAGAACCUUCGCUAAGGAACUCGGCAAAAAAGCGUCCGUAACUUCGGAAUAAGGACUGCCCUCUCAUUAAGAUGAGGAUUUGCUAGAAACUUGGUGGAAACAUAAGGUUAAUAGUAUUUACCUAAUAAUUUAACCAAAUUUUUCGUCAAGACAGAACACAUCAGGAAAUAUCCUGUGAUAUCUUUUCUAGUAACUUAAUCGUCAUUUUGAUGAGAGGGUCGCAGCUAAAGAGCCCACGGAACUGUUUAACAAAAACAUAGGUCUCUGCUAACGCGAAAGCGGAUGUAUAGGGGCUGACUCCUGCCCGGUGUCGGAAGGUUAAGGGGAGAGCUUUACGGUUCGAACUGAAGCCCCGAUGAACGGCGGCGAUAACUAUGAUCGUCCUAAGGUAGCGAAAUUCCUUGUCAGGUAAGUUCUGACCCGCACGAAUGGAGUAAUCAUGUGGGCACUGUCUCGGCGAAGGACUCGGUGAAAGUGCAUUGGCGGUAAAGAUGCCGUCUGUCCAUGCCAGGACGAGAAGACCCCAUGGAGCUUUACUACAGCUUUACAUUGACACGGGUUACAUCAUGUGUAGCAUAGGUGGGAGGCUUUGAAGCAGAUACGCCAGUAUUUGUGGAGCCACAGGUGAAAUACCACCCUUGAUGUAGUCUUUGUCUUACCAUUGCCGUUAUCCGGUAAUGGGACCGUGUAUGGUGGGUAGUUUAACUGGGGCGGUUGCCUCCUAAAGAGUAGCGG